rnacentral:lncRNA from 1 species
AAAGUCGUGAAUUAUGUUCUGCUACCCAGAUAGAUUUUCACCCUGCUUUCAGGCGGAUCAGACAGAACAUGAUUUUCUCUUCCCUUAUGCUGCUCUGACUCUACUGAGUUCAGAAGGAUGA